rnacentral:rRNA from 1 species
UAAGGAAUAUUGGUCAAUGGACGCAAGUCUGAACCAGCCAUGCCGCGUGAAGGAUGAAGGUCCUCUGGAUUGUAAACUUCUUUUAUCUGGGACGAAAACGGGAUUUUUAUCUCAAUUGACGGUACCAGAGGAAUAAGCACCGGCUAACUCCGUGCCAGCAGCCGCGGUAAUACGGAGGGUGCGAGCGUUAUCCGGAUUUACUGGGUUUAAAGGGUGCGUAGGUGGGCUUAUAAGUCAGUGGUGAAAUCUCCGAGCUUAACUUGGAAACUGCCGUUGAUUCUAUAGGUCUUGAAUUAUCUGGAGGUAAGCGGAAUAUGUCAUGUAGCGGUGAAAUGCUUAGAUAUGACAUAGAACACCAAUUGCGAAGGCAGCUUACUACAUAUAAAUUGACGCUGAGGCACGAAAGCGUGGGG